CCUACGGGUGGCAGCAGUGGGGAAUAUUGCGCAAUGGGCGAAAGCCUGACGCAGCGACGCCGCGUGAGGGAUGAAGGUCUUCGGAUCGUAAACCUCUGUCAGCAGGGAAGAACGGUCACUGUGCUAAUCAGCAGUGAAUUGACGGUACCUUCAAAGGAAGCACCGGCUAACUCCGUGCCAGCAGCCGCGGUAAUACGGAGGGUGCGAGCGUUAAUCGGAAUUACUGGGCGUAAAGCGCUCGUAGGCGGUAUGUCAAGUCAAGGGUGAAAUCCCCGCGCUCAACGUGGGGAAUGCCUUUGAAACUGGUAAACUGGAGUGUGGGAGAGGAUAGUGGAAUUCCAGGUGUAGGAGUGAAAUGCGUAGAUAUCUGGAGGAACAUCAGUGGCGAAGGCGACUAUCUGGCACAUAACUGACGCUGAGGAGCGAAAGCGUGGGUAGCAAACAGGAUUAGAUACCCUUGUAGUC
rnacentral:rRNA from 1 species